UACGAAGGUUGCAAGCGUUACUCGGAAUUACUGGGCGUAAAGCGUGCGCAGGCGGUUUUGUAAGUUUGUCGUGAAAGCCCCGGGCUCAACCUGGGAAUUGCGAUGAAGACUGCAAGGCUUGAAUCUGGCAGAGGGGGGUAGAAUUCCACGUGUAGCAGUGAAAUGCGUAGAGAUGUGGAGGAACACCGAUGGCGAAGGCAGCCCCCCUGGGUCAAGAUUGACGCUCAUGCACGAAAGCGUGGGGAGCAAACAGG
rnacentral:rRNA from 1 species